ensembl:lncRNA
CUUUUAGAAGGAGCUGUCAGCACUGGAGCAGGGAUAGACUUUCUUCAGAGUGGGACAGAUGCAGAGACUGAGGAGAAACACACUGUGUUGCAUGGAAUUAGCAGGACAGAAGAGAAAGCACCAUCCACUGACCUGCAGGCUGCUGACAUGUUGCCAUGCUAAUGCUUGCAGGAUUGUAACAACCCCACAAGACAUCCUGGCAAUGCAUCCCACCACUACAGCCUGCUUGCCUUGCUCAGCAGAACAAACUGAUGGACAGUAACCACUUCUUGGAUGGCUCACUCCAGGCCAAGUCAGUAUUUGCUUCAUUCAAAAGUGUGGUGAUGACUCGCAAACUAAAAUCCUCCCUGUUUUAAGCUUGAACUUCGGCCUUUGUUUUCCACAUGCGAAAGAUUCUGUAUGAUACCAGAGGUGAAACAAGAACUUACGGGCCUCAGAAAAAGCUGUGCAAAGAGGAAGCUAAGCUCCACGCUGGCAUAGCUUGUCAUUUCCAGCAGACGAGAUCAUGUGAACUGCUGCUCAUUUCCACUAGAAAGAGGAUUGGACACAAACACAAGCAGCAAAAUCAGAAUUACCUGAUUCUCAAUUAAAUCCAUGUUUUUCUUUAAAAAAUGAUAAGUUACUUCAUUCUAAAUACCAUUUAAAAGACUGUCUUCUACUGAAGGAAAAAUAGUAAAAAAAAAAAAAAAAAAAAUUUAUUU